rnacentral:lncRNA from 1 species
AUUCAUACCCUGUCUCACAAGAUAUAGUUUCUUCCUACAGGUAGGUGCAUCUCCAGUGGCAAUCGGAAAAUAUCUACCACAAAAUAAGGUGAGUUGAACUUUAGAUGAAAUACUUUCAUUUGCCUUGGAAGGAGAGUACAAUUCCAACAGAAAAAGAGUCAUGUAAAAGAACUUGGUGGUUGGUAUUAGUUCUCUAAUGCAUCAUAG